rnacentral:rRNA from 1 species
UACGGAGGGUGCAAGCGUUGUUCGGAAUCACUGGGCGUAAAGGGCGUGUAGGCGGUCUAUCAAGUCUGGUGUGAAAUCCCCUCGCUCAACGAGGGAACUGCGCCGGAAACUGACAGACUAGAGUACCGGAGAGGAAGGUGGAAUUCCCGGUGUAGCGGUGAAAUGCGUAGAUAUCGGGAGGAAUACCAGCGGCGAAGGCGGCCUCUGGACGGUGGACUGACGCUGAGACGCGAAAGCGUGGGGAGCGACGAG